rnacentral:rRNA from 1 species
ACUGGAACUGAGACACGGUCCAGACUCCUACGGGAGGCAGCAGUAGGGAAUCUUCCGCAAUGGGCGAAAGCCUGACGGAGCAACGCCGCGUGAGUGAUGAAGGUCUUCGGAUCGUAAAACUCUGUUAUUAGGGAAGAACAUAUGUGUAAGUAACUGUGCACAUCUUGACGGUACCUAAUCAGAAAGCCACGGCUAACUACGUGCCAGCAGCCGCGGUAAUACGUAGGUGGCAAGCGUUAUCCGGAAUUAUUGGGCGUAAAGCGCGCGUAGGCGGUUUUUUAAGUCUGAUGUGAAAGCCCACGGCUCAACCGUGGAGGGUCAUUGGAAACUGGAAAACUUGAGUGCAGAAGAGGAAAGUGGAAUUCCAUGUGUAGCGGUGAAAUGCGCAGAGAUAUGGAGGAACACCAGUGGCGAAGGCGACUUUCUGGUCUGUAACUGACGCUGAUGUGCGAAAGCGUGGGGAUCAAACAGGAUUAGAUACCCUGGUAGUCCACGCCGUAAA